UACGUAGGGGGCGAGCGUUGUCCGGAAUCACUGGGCGUAAAGGGCGCGUAGGCGGCCUGAUAAGUCGGGGGUGAAAUCCUGCGGCUUAACCGCAGGGCUGCCUUCUAAACUGUCGGGCUUGAGCACAGUAGAGGCAGGUGGAAUUCCCGGUGUAGCGGUGGAAUGCGUAGAGAUCGGGAAGAACAUCAGUGGCGAAGGCGGCCUGCUGGGCUGUUGCUGACGCUGAGGCGCGACAGCGUGGGGAGCAAACAGG
rnacentral:rRNA from 1 species